ensembl:lncRNA
AUACAAAACACAUCGGGUAAUUGCAACCACUCAAAUAUACACCUGAAGGCACUUACUUGCAAAACUGAACACCAAUUAGCCAACCACAAAAAGCCCUCAGUUUAGCCAUUUCAAGAACUUUGCAAGCAUGGAUGGAGGGAGAGCAAGAGGAAGAGGAGGAGGAGGUCAAAGAGGCCAUGCACGGACCCAUAUUUCUGAUGAUAUAAGAGCAACUUUGGUGGACCAUGUCAUCAACCACGGCCUGACUAUGAGGGAAGCUGGGCAGAGAGUCCACCCACAUCUAAGCCGUUUCACAGUGGCAUCUGUAAUAAGAAAAUUCCGACUAGAAAACAGGUCUGUCUUCAUCUCACUGCCUUCUACUCUACUCAGAUGGUUUUUAUAGUACUGUUCUACAGUUACCAUAUCAAGUGUACAGGGUAUUGCAGGGUGCUAAUGCUCCUUUUGCAGCCAAAGUGGUAGUUUCUGUGAAACAUACCAUGAUUACUUAUGUUGAAGUACAGUGUUGUACAGUGGAUGAUACAGUAUAUACAGUAAAGUACUGUAAGAAAAAUAAGCAAACCAAUGACAAUAUGUGGUUGUAUUUCUCUAGAAUGACUCGAAGACCUUCUGGGGGAGGACGCCAACGCCUGUUCACACAACGGCAGGAACUUGCCGUUGUGGACCUAGUGAGGGCAGACAAUGCUAUCCGUCUCCACCAGCUACGAAAGCAAAUACUUGCAGACAGGCAAGUGUUCAACAACAUAAACCAUGUGAGCAUCACCACCAUCAGACGCAUCUUGGGAAAACACAGCAUCACCAUGAAGCAACUCUACAGAGUCCCAUUUGAGAGGAACAGUGACAGGGUCAAAGGACUUCGAGCUGAAUAUGUACCAUAUCAGUACCACAUGAAUACAUUCUGAGAGCUACACAGAGAAUCUUGGCCAUGGAUGGAGCUGCACAGCCUCAUGAAUUCAUUUUCAUUGAUGAAGCUGGAUUCGACCUGUGCAAAACAAGACGACGGGGUCGUAAUGUAAUUGGCCAAAGGGCAAUUGUGCACGUUCCAGGGCAGCGCGGGGGAAAUAUCACAUUGUGUGCCGCCAUAAGCCUUCGACGGCUUCUGCAUCAUCAUGCAAAACUAGGUCCAUACAAUAGCCAACAUAUACUCACAUUUCUAGAUCUCCAUGAUAUAGUUGUACAGAAUAGACCAGAUCAGCCCAGGUUUGUGGUGAUAUGGGAUAAUGUCAGUUUCCAUCGGGCUGCUCUGGUCCAGGCCUGGUUCUCCAACCACAGUCAACUUGAAGUGGUAUGCUUGCCCCCUUACCCACCAUUUUUAAACCCUAUAGAGGAAUUUUUUUCGGCUUGGAGAUGGCGUGUAUAUGACCGCCAACUACAUGCCUGCAUGCCUCUUCUGCAGGCAAUGGAACAGGCCUGCGGCGACAUUCAGGUGACAGCAAUCCAUGGAUGGUUUUGACAUGGAAGAGGAUAUUUUCCCCGGUGCCUAGCGGGAGAAGACAUUGCUUGCGAUGUUGAUGAGGUCCUGUGGCCAGACCCCAACAGACGGCGGGAUCCAUGAGCCCACGUAUGCACAAUUGUCAUGAUUUUUUGUUUACAGUAUAGUGUUUUUUCUAUUACUGUAUUAUGGGUUGUUUUUUUUUUUUUUUUUUUUUUGCUUUAUCUGAAUUCAUGGUACUGCAAUGUACAAUAUUGAGUAGGCCUAUUUGCUUUUUUGGUUGUUUGCAAAUGUGUCUCCUGCCUUCUGAAUGAACAAUGGAAAUCAAAGACUGCAGUGCUUUAUAUAAAGAAGACUAGUGUGUUCCCCCUGCUCUGUAGGUGUUUGCAUAUGAUGCAAGUAUGUGUCAUUUUGUCAACAGAGUUACAUUUUGACAAAGGAAUGUUAGGUUUUGAUAGCAGAGUUUAGGUUUUGAGAGUAGAGUUUCAAUUUGGUGCAGAUGUGAAUGGUAUAUUUCCCAGUGUUGUGUCAUGUUUACUUGUGUUUAGGGUUUUGGCACAAUGAGCAAAGUUUUGCAAAAUGUGUUCAGGCAAUGGGCAAAAACUGUAAAAGUGUUGAAUGUUAUAUAGAGAACAUUUAUGCAUUGAAAAAAAGUGCUUCUGUGAAUAGAUGAAUGAGAUCUGCUGUAUAAAGCACUUUGAGGGCUCAGGUAGAGUAGAAAAGUGCUCUAUACGAAGCUGUCCAUUUUGCAAAAGAUGCCUUUUACAUCAGUAAUUAUUCACAUAAAUUUAAAUCCAUGGUGUAAGAUGUCUCUGCAACAGCUCAUCGCACCUCCACUGCAUUAAAGUCUGUGCUUGGUCCUGAGUGUGGUUGUUGGUGGUGGUGUAUGUGUGGCUGGCAGCUGAAAAGCUGUUACAGAGAACAGCAACUGAGGAUUAAAGUGUUACA